rnacentral:misc_RNA from 1 species
AAAGUCGUAACAAGGUUUCCGUAGGUGAACCUGCGGAAGGAUCAUUACCGAAUGAACUGCACCUUCUUGUAGCAGAACCAUUGCCCAUGGCCGGAUGAUCAGAUCUGACAAAUGUCACCGGAGGUUGGCCUAUUCCGAAUGGUUUCUGGUUGCUGCACGGCACUGCUCAACGCUAACACCUGGGGGGGGCUUUGGUGGGACCAUUUUGGCCAUGCUGGAUGUUGGAUGUUGGAUGUGCGGUCUCUGGGCCCUUUGGUCUGCUACGCUUAUCAAACCCGUCGUUGUAUGUAUGGUGGGGUGGCAUCCACCUUUUGUUGGGUUGCCCCUCAAGUAUGUAAACAUGAAUAUAACUUUCAACAACGGAUCUCUUGGCUCUC